CAGCAGAAACCUUCACAUCUCCUCUGGACACAGAGAAACAGAAAUACAUGUGAGAUCAGCUGAGGAAGAUUAGAAACAGGAACGUUUAGGAGGUAAGAUUAUAAUUAAACCAAGUCAAAUUACUUGAUGAAUUCUUAGUGAAAGUAAUUAAACUGAUGAACUGACUGUAGGCUGAGGUACAUUUUCUGCAUUUAUUGGAAUUCCCGUUGUGCCACCAGGGACAUAAUUCAACUCCAGUGUUUUAUUAGAUUUAGAGUCAUUUCCUUAUUACAAUAUUUCAUUAAACUUGGAACUGUGCGACGCAGGGACGUAGUUUUAAGGCAAGAGGAAACUCGGAUCGGGACACACCAGACUUCUGAACUUCUGGGCUGUUGUGUGCAUAAUGGAAGUGUCUAAUUUUAACAUUUAUUAAAGGGAUAUUUCACUGUUUUUUAUGACCAAGCAUUAGGGCCACAUUAAGAAAAAAAUACAUUUAGACCUCAGAAUUAUUUAUGAGAAUAAAGUCGUAAUAAAGUAAUAACUUAUGAGAAUAAAGUCAUAAUUAAGUUAUUACUUAUGAAAAUAAAGUCGUAAUGAAGUAAUUAUGAGAAUAAAGUUGUAAUAAAGUAAUUAUGAGUAUUAAGUUGUAAUAAAAUCAAUACUUAUGAGGACAAAGUCGUUAAGUUACAUGUCAUUUAGAGGUUCAUCAGCUAAAGUGGAUGUUGGUCAGGUAUUUCCCUUUAAACUUUAAAGUCAUGGUUGAUGAUUGGAGAGAUUGGUGAUUAUUAUGAACCUCGUUUCUAUGGCGAUCAUGGUCCUGUAGUGCGAUCUCCACAAAGUGAAGAGAAAAAAGAACGGAAAAAAUCUGUUCACCCUAUCAGGUGCAGGGCUGCAAAAACAUUGACCAAUGGGAGCCAUCUGUCCCAGACAGCUCCUAUUGGUCAAUCUCCUGCUCCGCCUCUCCAUCCAAUCACCUCGCUGUAUUCGACACAGUAGUGUAGCAGCUUAGCUCGAUGGAGAAGGAUGGGAAAAAACACUUCUGCUCUCUCCACCGCCAAAAGUGGGAAGAAAACACAAGCCGACAGAAGAAAGGGCGGAGUCGAAGAGGACAUGUGACCAAGUGAGGAAUCUAACUGGAAUAAACAUCGGGUCAUCCUCCGAGCGGUGGAGAAAACAGACGCAGAGACAGCAGAGUUUUUGUUGAACAGGUCAUUUUUAUCGCCUUUUAUCGUGGCUCAUGUUACAUAAAUAACUCUGAUUAGUUAUUAUUUAUUAGUUAUUACGAACAAUCCGACAUGGUGAAUCCUGUUUGAAGCUAGCGUAGGAUCCUCUGCCAGAGGGGGUGUGUCGUGAGGAGGGUGAUACAGGUUCAGGGGGGAGUUAUGGUGGAGCACAGAGGGGAGAGGUUUGUGUGUGGGGAGUGGGACGCUUUUUUCAAAUCUGCCUCAACGACUCAGUUUUUUUCAACUGCUUCUCAGAUCGUCAACCAGGACAUUAAUGAGAAACUGGCUGCAGGCAGGGUCAAGUUUGUCAUGUAAAUUAGCUGCUUUAUGAAACUCGGACCCUGAGCUCUUAUCCCAGUUUCACUGUUUUUUUCUGCAGUUCACCUUCAGAGAGUCCGUUUGUUUUUGCAUGAUCUGCAGACACACACGUUCCUCUCCAUGAUACUUUUCCAUGGUCACUAUUUCAAGUUUGAGUUUUCUAGAUUAAACUGAAGUCAUCGUGGUAAUUAUUACGAUCCAGAUCAACAAAGUGCUCUUCUAUUAGGGGAGGGGAGAUUAAAAAUAAAGGUCUGGUCCCCUCUGAAGUCCAGCCUAGACUUGGAUUCACGGUGGUGCAGUUUUUAAAAAGGUCUGAAAAAGUCAUGCAAAAUUAAUGCAUCCUCCUCCCUCUCCAUUAAUAACCUCAUUUUAAGAUGGUUUGGCAUUAAUACAUGAAAAUGUCAUCUAAAAAUAAGGUUAUUUUAGAGGAUAUGAGCUUUAUAGAGGGCUGUGGUGUGCAGAGGUGGAGGUAUAAAUCUGCUUUGUGACUGUUUAAGACAGAUAUAUAAACCGCAGUCUGAUGCAGAGCAGCAAAAAUAUGAUGAAAUAUUAAAAUAGGACAAAAGUUCUGAGUUUUCUGCUCUCAGGUGGUAAAGGGCAUGUCAGGAUUUAGUUGAGAGCUUACAGUCCUACCACUGUUUCUCUCACUUCCCUGCCGUAUUAAUGAGUGGAGCCCCUGGCUGCUGUCAGGCCUCCGUACACACCGUCACAACCAGACAGCAAGAUAAUCAUUUCCAACCUGCUGGCAUAAGCAUUAAAACUCUUGUUUCACCCCGUCUCCUCUGCUUCUUCUUCUUCUUCUUCUCUGUCCUUUUCAGAUCUGAGGUUCUUAUCGGUCCAGAAGCUGCGGCAGUGUUGAACCGCACUCGGGCCUCUUAUUAAGUCGGCCGACGGGCGGAGGAGCUAUCAGGCACUCCAUCGCCUUUUCAUCGAGGCCGCGGAGUGGCUUCAAAGAGAGAAAUGCAUGCAAAGAGAAG